rnacentral:rRNA from 1 species
CGGGACACGUGGUAUCCUGUCUGAAUAUGGGGGGACCAUCCUCCAAGGCUAAAUACUCCUGACUGACCGAUAGUGAACCAGUACCGUGAGGGAAAGGCGAAAAGAACCCCGGCGAGGGGAGUGAAAAAGAACCUGAAACCGUGUACGUACAAGCAGUGGGAGCACGCUUAGGCGUGUGACUGCGUACCUUUUGUAUAAUGGGUCAGCGACUUAUAUUCUGUAGCAAGGUUAACCGAAUAGGGGAGCCGAAGGGAAACCGAGUCUUAACUGGGCGUUAAGUUGCAGGGUAUAGACCCGAAACCCGGUGAUCUAGCCAUGGGCAGGUUGAAGGUUGGGUAACACUAACUGGAGGACCGAACCGACUAAUGUUGAAAAAUUAGCGGAUGACUUGUGGCUGGGGGUGAAAGGCCAAUCAAACCGGGAGAUAGCUGGUUCUCCCCGAAAGCUAUUUAGGUAGCGCCUCGUGAAUUCAUCUCCGGGGGUAGAGCACUGUUUCGGCAAGGGGGUCAUCCCGACUUACCAACCCGAUGCAAACUGCGAAUACCGGAGAAUGUUAUCACGGGAGACACACGGCGGGUGCUAACGUCCGUCGUGAAGAGGGAAACAACCCAGACCGCCAGCUAAGGUCCCAAAGUCAUGGUUAAGUGGGAAACGAUGUGGGAAGGCCCAGACAGCCAGGAUGUUGGCUUAGAAGCAGCCAUCAUUUAAAGAAAGCGUAAUAGCUCACUGGUCGAGUCGGCCUGCGCGGAAGAUGUAACGGGGCUAAACCAUGCACCGAAGCUGCGGCAGCGACACUGUGUGUUGUUGGGUAGGGGAGCGUUCUGUAAGCCUGCGAAGGUGUGCUGUGAGG